GCUUCAGUAGCUCAGUUGGUUAGAGCACCUGACUGUUAAUCAGGGGGUCGUUGGUUCAAGCCCCUCCUGGAGCG
rnacentral:tRNA from 1 species